rnacentral:misc_RNA from 1 species
CAGUGUUUGUGUCGGUGUCGUAGCCGGCGCGCCACUUUUUUGUUUAGUUGGUUGUGUGUGUGUGUGUGUUUGUGGCUUGGUCUGGCUUGGUCUGGCUUGGUCAUUGACUUGGUCUUUGGUCGUUGGCUCAACCUAGGCCAGACACGGACACGGACACGGACAAACAACCGCAAAAGAACAAUCUAUGUAUCGAUGGAUUCUUGGAAUCAAAA